rnacentral:rRNA from 1 species
ACGUAGGGUGCAAGCGUUAUCCGGAAUUAUUGGGCGUAAAGGGCUCGUAGGCGGUUCGUCGCGUCCGGUGUGAAAGUCCAUCGCUUAACGGUGGAACCGCGCCGGGUACGGGCGGGCUUGAGGGCGGUAGGGGAGAGUGGAAUUCCCGGUGUAGCGGUGGAAUGUGUAGAUAUUGGGAAGAACACCAGUGGCGAAGGCGGGUCACUGGGACGUCACUGACGCUGAGGAGCGAAAGCGUGGGGAGCGAACAG